rnacentral:rRNA from 1 species
UUCUGUAGGUGAACCUGCGGAGGGAUCAUUACCGAGUUUACAACUCCCAAACCCAAUGUGAACGUUACCAAACUGUUGCCUCGGCGGGGUCACGCCCCGGGUGCGUCGCAGCCCCGGAACCAGGCGCCCGCCGGAGGAACCAACCAAACUCUUUCUGUAGUCCCCUCGCGGACGUAUUUCUUACAGCUCUGAGCAAAAAUUCAAAAUGAAUAAAAACUUGCAACAACGGAUCUCUUGGUUCUGGCAUCGAUGAAGAACGCAGCGAAAUGCGAUAAGUAAUGUGAAUUGCAGAAUGCAGUGAAUCAUCGAAUCUUUGAACGCACAUUGCGCCCGCCAGUAUUCUGGCGGGCAUGCCUGUCCGAGCGUCAUUUCAACCCUCGAACCCCUCCGGGGGAUCGGCGUUGGGGAUCGGGACCCCUCACACGGGUGCCGGCCCCGAAAUACAGUGGCGGUCUCGCCGCAGCCUCUCCUGCGCAGUAGUUUGCACAACUCGCACCGGGAGCGCGGCGCGUCCACGUCCGUAAAACACCCAACUUUCUGAAAUGUUGACCUCGGAUCAGGUAGGAAUACCCGCUGAACUAAAGCAUAUCAAUAAGCGGAGGA